rnacentral:rRNA from 1 species
UACGAAGGUCCCGAGCGUUGUUCGGAAUCACUGGGCGUAAAGGGAGCGUAGGCGGCGUGGUAAGUCAGAUGUGAAAUCCCGGGGCUCAACCCCCGGAACUGCAUCCGAUACUGCCAUGCUAGAGGAUUGGAGAGGAGACUGGAAUUCCCGGUGUAGCGGUGAAAUGUGUAGAGAUCGGGAGGAACACCGGUGGCGAAGGCGGGUCUCUGGGCAAUUCCUGACGCUGAGGCGCGAAAGCGUGGGGAGCAAACGGG